UUGGUGGUUCCAGGAUCGCAGAAAGAUCGCAAUGCCUCGAUCGCCCAGGUGGGGAACUUAAACAUGCAAGCUUUGAGCUCUGGGAAUGUGGCCGGAACGUUUGGAUGCUGGGUCUGGUACUCGACGUGGUUGAAGAGUUUUGCCGGAUCAUCGACUUUGCGGAGAGUUUUGGCAUCCAUGAGCGAGUGAUCAAAGCAUGGUGCUAGAAACUCCUCUCCUUCUCCUCGCGAGACGAGCGACCAGGCCGUCAAGAAGGAGCUGGCCGAGAAUCCAUCGCCCACAUUGUGAUGGACUCCAAGAACGAGACUGGAUCCUCCACACUGGAAGCGAGUGACUUGGGCAGUGACCAAUGGCGCCUCCGUGAUGUCUCCAGAAGUCUUGUAGAUCCCGGUCGGGCUGAGAAGCUCAAACCUUGGAUCGUGCUGCUCGAAGCCGCCGAAAUCGUCGAGCUCUCCAUCCACGAAAGCCUCGAAGAAGUCGCUCCCUUGGUCGGAGCACUCGAGCUGGAGGGCAUUGUUGGGAAGAACAGCGUAGCGGCCGGCUAGAGGAUAGAAGGUGGCCAACGUGGUGGAGAGUGACGCCUUGAGAUUGUCGGUGGAAAGCUCUCUGGUGGUAGUGGGAAAGAAAAGAAGGAAUUGCGUGUAGUACCUUGGGACGAUUUGAUCGAUGUUGGAGAGGAGGUGGAUUCCUCCUGGAGAUGGGGCUGGGAGCUUGAUCGCAUAUCUAGUCCUUGAAGUGAUCUUCAUUUGGAAACUUGGGUCUCUUGGUCACAAUGCAGGAGAGAUUUAUAAGAUUGCUUGACUUUUCUUGCAAGGGAAGUAAAGGACCGCAGUGAAAUUGUGACCCUGGACACUGUGCCGCAGAUGUCGACAUUCUAGAUUGUCAUCUUCCAGCUAGAUUGUCAACUUCCCGAAGUUCUGGAAGAAAUCAGAUUCCAUUUGGAUAAGCUUGAUUGUUUUGGUAUUUAAAAAAUGUUAAAGGAGUUCUGCUCUUCUUUCCCAUUCUCGCUUUUACGGGCUAUGGUGUAACAUCACUCUCUCGCUCUUUGAUCUCUCGUGUAGCAUAGUGCGAUUUAGCGAUGGGAAUUUCGGCUUCCAAAGUUUUGAUCGUCAACCAAACUGACAAAAUUUUGUUUCUCCGUGACAAUGAUUAUGGCAUGGUGUUUUGCACACUCAGGGGCAUUAUACAGCCCAUGAGCUCACAGUCUGUAAGUUUAAAGGUGAAAAGCGAUCGCCCAAGAACCAGGACUGCCAUACUUUUUAAAGCUUCUGGGAUCAAAGGGGAAAGUCCUACUGGACUUCAUAUUAUAAUGGAACCUCACGUGCAAGCAGCUAGAUCUUAUAUCGUCCUGGAAGAUGAAACUGAGCGGUUCAUUCUCAUAGAAGAGGGCUAGCAUAACACGAUUUAAAUUAAAUUGCUCAUCACACAAAUCGUUCGCAAAAGUGAGAAGUUUCUUCUGCUGGUUCUCUGUAAAGGAAAGGCUAUAUCAGUAUUGUAAAUAAUUUAUCGGAAGAGAGUAAGCACCUCAAAUUUGUGAUGCUUUCAAUCCAACAUAUUGUAAAAUUUGUAAGUACGAUUGAUGCUUUUAAUCAUCUACACAUGAGAUCUCGCGCUCCACUGUCUGGAACACCCCCAGAAGACUUUUAUCGCGUCGUUGUGUGUGAGGAGCCAUAUGGAGAUUAAGGACACCCAAACCCCAAACGCGGCAAGAGCACAAUUCAAAACGAAGUACUGAAAUUCUGCCCAUUCUUCCCUGGUGGGACUUCUUGGUAUCCUGUUCAUGUAGUUCUGCAAGAGGAACUCGAGAGCAAUUUUUGAAAUGGAUCUGUUUGGAGGGUUGCAAUAGAAUAUGUUCUUUCUCGAUCUCCUUGGGUUUCUCUUCAUGUCCUCCACUAAAGCUUGGUAACAGUGGACAAUGUACUCUCGUUUUUUCAACUUUCUCAUCAUCUUGAUGCAGUAAUUCUGCUUCAAGAUCAGUGAUGCCAAAGCUGCGGCUGAGGUGGUGAGCGACACGGACGAUGGAAUCCACCAUUUUGUGCUGGAAUUCGUCAUGGAGGCGAGGUGAGCGACCAUGUUAAGAACCAUACCGACAAACACGAAGUACAUGCCCAACACUUGGUAGAUCUGAUUUAUAGCACUGUCCAGCCUUUUCUGCACCAGCUUUUGCUGCUUCUCCCAGUGUCUAAUCCCUUCCCUGUAUUCCUUGAAGAUAUUUCUUCUGAUUUUCAUUGGCGCUGGUGCUUCUGCCAUCUUGUGAAAUUUUUCUGAAUUCUGGAAUGCAUAUGGAUCACACGUUGCACGAAUCUUCUUCGAAACCCGUCUGUCAUCCGACAAAAUAGAAGUCCAAAAGCUACAAUUUUUAGUAAUGUCAACGUAACUAUUACAAUAUUUAAACUUGACAGUUUCAACACUAAGAAAAGAUCAAAGAAUUUCGUUCAACUUGCAUAAUCCAGGAAAUCCAAACUUUAAGGCGCUGGACUUGGUGUUGGCAUUGGAAAUAUGGCGAGAAUAUACUUUUAACACAUGAAUCUUUUGGGGACUGCAGACACAAAUAUUCCAAAGCCAAUGAGGACACCAUCUGUAAUGUAGUACUGGAACACUGCCCGCUCUGAAUGUGUUGGACGUUUUGGCAUUUGCAUCGAGGGGAGAAGAAACUCUUGAAGAAUAGUGAGCAUGCACCUGUUUGGAGGAUUGUCAUAGCAAAUGCUUGUCCUUGGCCUUCUUGGACCUAUAUUCCUCUUCAGGUCCUCCAACUCGGCCUCAUAGUGAUUGAUGAUGUACUGCCGCUUUUUCAGCUUUCUCAUCAGCUUAAUGCAAUCGUUUUGCUUCACAGCCAGAGACACCAAUGUCACCGCAGAGGUGAUUAGUGAGACAACCAUUGGAAUCCACCAGUUUCGGCAUGAAUUCUUGGACGAGAGCUGUGCCACAAUGUUGAGGACCACACCCUCAAAAACAAAGUACAUGCCCAGAACCUGGUAAAUCUCACCGCUCCUCUUGUCCAGCCUCUUUUGCACCAGCCUCAGCUGCUUCUCCCAAUGGCAAAUGUCAUCCUUGCACUCUUCAAUCCUGGAAUCCAUGGCUGCGCUGGUCGCCAAAUGGGUAUCCCGUCACUGCUUUGUUCAUCCAUGUCGUAUCGUGGCUAUUUCUCGAUCACUCCUGGAUCGAAAAUUAAAGAAAAGUUGAACAUUCUCAAGUUUGGCCGCGUCAAUCGAAAAUCCGUGUACAGCAAAUGCCCGCUGACUGUCUCCCCUCGAUCGAUCAUGUAUGAUAUAACAGCCCGGGAAUCUCAACUUCUCUCCCAAGGUGAUAUGAUUAUUCCUAUUGGGGAUUUCCCUAUACCUAUGACGAUCUCAUGUGACCUUGCUAAUAUAUUGUCAAGUAUAAAUAUUGAUUUUAAAUUUAGCCACUACAUUUAAAUAUUAAAGUGUUUCAUCUAGCAUGAUUUCACCUUUCUUUCUAUUUUAAUUUUAAUCAUAGGGAAAAAUAGGUAACCUCAUUAAUUUUAGUUUGAACCGUUAUGUACAAAACUCUGGAUCCGCAAGCAAAUUCCUCAUAUGCUCGGCAUACAAACCAAUGAGGACAACUAUCGUUUGAUCGUCCAGCCACGGCAGAAAUAUCACAAGCCCUGUGAAAGCAGCCACCGGCAAUCCAACAAAGACCUGCUUGCCACCACCAAAAUCCACAGGAAACCUCGACCAGCUCGUCAAUGCCAAGUCGGUUCUAGCAUCGCAAAAACUGGGGAAGACUCCCAGAGGACUUGGCUGCUGCUCGAGCCAGUGAAGCGCCGAUCGCAUGUACUCGUCGGUGAUGCGGUGCGUGGCUUAGAAGAUCACGUUUCCAAAGUAUUUCUCUGGAAGAGGUGGGGUGAAUCGAGUUCGUCCAUCCACAGCCAUCCCCAGCUUGGUUUCUUCGUGCGGCUCGAGAUUCCUAGCCUUGGUGACGGACUUCCAGACGUGAGCAGAGCUUCGAACUUGAUGGUUCCAGGUCCGCAGAAAGAUCGCAAUGUCUCGAUCGCCCAGGUGGGGAACUUAAACAUGCAAGCUUUGAGCUCUGGGAAUGUGGCCGGAACGUUUGGACGCUGGGUCUGGUACUCGACGUGGUUGAAGAGUUUUGCCGGAUCAUCGACUUUGCGGAGAGUUUUGGCAUCCAUGAGCGAGUGAUCAAAGCAUGGUGCUAGAAACUCCUCUCCUUCUCCUCGCGAGACGAGCGACCAGGCCGUCAAGAAGGAGCUGGCCGAGAAUUCAUCGCCCACAUUGUGAUGGACUCCAAGAACGAGACUGGAUCCUCCACACUGGAAGCGAGUGACUUGGGCAGUGACCAAUGGCACCUCCGUGACGUCUCCAGAAGUCUUAUAGAUCCCGGUCGGGCUGAGAAGCUCAAACCUUGGAUCGUGCUGCUCGAAGCCGCCGAAAUCG
rnacentral:lncRNA from 1 species